rnacentral:rRNA from 1 species
ACUCCUACGGGAGGCAGCAGUAGGGAAUCUUCCACAAUGGGCGCAAGCCUGAUGGAGCAACACCGCGUGAGUGAAGAAGGGUUUCGGCUCGUAAAGCUCUGUUGUUAAAGAAGAACACGUAUGAGAGUAACUGUUCAUACGUUGACGGUAUUUAACCAGAAAGUCACGGCUAACUACGUGCCAGCAGCCGCGGUAAUACGUAGGUGGCAAGCGUUAUCCGGAUUUAUUGGGCGUAAAGAGAGUGCAGGCGGUUUUCUAAGUCUGAUGUGAAAGCCUUCGGCUUAACCGGAGAAGUGCAUCGGAAACUGGAUAACUUGGGUGCAGAAGAGGGUAGUGGAACUCCAUGUGUAGCGGUGGAAUGCGUAGAUAUAUGGAAGAACACCAGUGGCGAAGGCGGCUACCUGGUCUGCAACUGACGCUGAGACUCGAAAGCAUGGGUAGCGAACAGGAUUAGAUACCCUGGUAGGAUAGCG